GACGAACGCUGGCGGCGUGCUUAACACAUGCAAGUCGAACGGAAAGGCCCUGCUUUUGUGGGGUGCUCGAUUGGCGAACGGGUGAGUAACACGUGAGUAACCUGCCCUUGACUUUGGGAUAACUUCAGGAAACUGGGGCUAAUACCGGAUAGGAUCUCCUGCUGCAUGGUGGGGGUUGGAAAGUUUCGGCGGUUGGGGAUGGACUUGCGGCUUAUCAGCUUGUUGGUGGGGUAGUGGCUUACCAAGGCUUGGACGGGUAGCCGGCGUGAGAGGGUGACCGGCGACACUGGAGGUGGAACGGCGACCAGGGGCCUACGGGAGGCAGCAGUCGCGAACGGGGGGCAAUGGGGGGAAGCCUGGCACAGUGGGGCGGCGUGGGAGAAGGAGGCCUUGGGGGCGGAAAGCCGUCUUUUGGGUUAAAAACAGCUUUGGGCUGAGACGAAGCGGGAGUGACGGUACCGGAUAAAGAAGCACCGGCUAACUACGUG
rnacentral:rRNA from 1 species